rnacentral:rRNA from 1 species
GAUGAACGCUGGCGGCGUGCCUAAUACAUGCAAGUCGAGCGAACAGACGAGGAGCUUGCUCCUCUGAUGUUAGCGGCGGACGGGUGAGUAACACGUGGAUAACCUACCCAUAAGACUGGGAUAACUUCGGGAAACCGGAGCUAAUACCGGAUAACAUGUUGAACCGCAUGGUUCAACAGUGAAAGACGGUCUUGCUGUCACUUAUAGAUGGAUCCGCGCCGCAUUAGCUAGUUGGUAAGGUAACGGCUUACCAAGGCAACGAUGCGUAGCCGACCUGAGAGGGUGAUCGGCCACACUGGAACUGAGACACGGUCCAGACUCCUACGGGAGGCAGCAGUAGGGAAUCUUCCGCAAUGGGCGAAAGCCUGACGGAGCAACGCCGCGUGAGUGAAGAAGGUCUUCGGAUCGUAAAACUCUGUUAUUAGGGAAGAACAAAUGUGUAAGUAACUAUGCACGUCUUGACGGUACCUAAUCAGAAAGCCACGGCUAACUACGUG